rnacentral:rRNA from 1 species
CCUACGGGAGGCUGCAGUGAGGAAUAUUGGUCAAUGGGCGCAAGCCUGAACCAGCCAAGUCGCGUGAGGGAUGACGGUCCUAUGGAUUGUAAACCUCUUUUGUCGGGGAGCAAGGCCCGCCACGUGUGGCGGGAAGGAGAGUACGCGAAGAAAAAGCAUCGGAUAACUCCGGGCCAGCAGCCGCGGUAAUACGGAGGGUGCGAGCGUUAUCCGGAUUUAUUUGGUGUAAGGGGUGCGUAGGCGGAUUUUUAAGUCAGCGGUAAAAUGUCCGGGCUCAACCCGGGCCGGCCGUUGAAACGGGGUAUCUUGAGUGGGCGAGAAGUAUGCGGAAUGGGUGGUGUAGCGGUGAAAUGCAUAGAUAUCACGCAGAACUCCGAUUGCGAAGGCAGCAUACCGGCGCCCGACUGACGCUGUGGCACGAAAGCGUGGGGAUCGAACAGGAUUAGAUACCCCAGUAGUC